rnacentral:rRNA from 1 species
GAUGAACGCUGGCGGCGUGCUUAACACAUGCAAGUCGAACGAAGCACCUUGAUUUGAUUCUUCGGAUGAAGAUCUUGGUGACUGAGUGGCGGACGGGUGAGUAACGCGUGGGUAACCUGCCUCAUACAGGGGGAUAACAGUUAGAAAUGACUGCUAAUACCGCAUAAGACCACAGCACCGCAUGGUGCAGGGGUAAAAACUCCGGUGGUAUGAGAUGGACCCGCGUCUGAUUAGGUAGUUGGUGGGGCAACAGCCUACCAAGCCGACGAUCAGUAGCCGACCUGAGAGGGUGACCGGCCACAUUGGGACUGAGACACGGCCCAAACUCCUACGGGAGGCAGCAGUGGGGAAUAUUGCACAAUGGGGGAAACCCUGAUGCAGCGACGCCGCGUGAGCGAUGAAGUAUUUCGGUAUGUAAAGCUCUAUCAGCAGGGAAGAAAAUGACGGUACCUGACUAAGAAGCACCGGCUAAAUACGUGCCAGCAGCCGCGGUAAUACGUAUGGUGCAAGCGUUAUCCGGAUUUACUGGGUGUAAAGGGAGCGUAGACGGAGUGGCAAGUCUGAUGUGAAAACCCGGGGCUCAACCCCGGGACUGCAUUGGAAACUGUCAAUCUAGAGUACCGGAGAGGUAAGCGGAAUUCCUAGUGUAGCGGUGAAAUGCGUAGAUAUUAGGAGGAACACCAGUGGCGAAGGCGGCUUACUGGACG